AGCGAAUAAGUGCACAUGGUGGAUGCCUUGGCGAUUACAGGCGAUGAAGGACGUAGUAGCUUGCGAUAAGCUGCGGGGAGUGAGCAAACACACUUUGAUCCGCAGAUUUCCGAAUGGGGAAACCCGGCCUUUUAGGUCAUUGCAUACUGAAUACAUAGGUAUGCAAAGCGAACGCGGCGAACUGAAACAUCUAAGUAGCUGCAGGAAAAGAAAUCAACCGAGAUUCCCUAAGUAGUGGCGAGCGAACG
rnacentral:rRNA from 1 species